UUCAUUCAGACUUAAAACAUUUUAUUAAUUAUUUUCAUAAUUUUGUUUAAAAGAAAAUCCCACAUUCCAAGUUAAUGAGUGAUUUGGUGGGAGUGUAAGUGUUGUUACAUAGAUGCUGUGUUCACUAUGCAUGAUUCAUACAUAAUUCAAGGUUUAUUUGAUGUAGUAAAUAAAUAAAUGAUUUAUUGAUGUAUAGAUAAGAAUUUAAAUGUGAUGUAACAGGUAAAUUAACGUUAGGCCAUUGAUUGUGUUUUUAUGUUCCAUCCCGGAACUAACGUUCUCUGUUGUGUUACUGCUACGGAAUUUGUUAAUUGACUGUGUGCAAUCUAACUUAAGCAGAUCUUAGUCUGAGUCAUAAUUGUUGAUGGCAGAGGCUAAGAAAGACAGUAAAGGGACUUUCAAGGGACUUUAAGAAUUCAAGAACCUCUUUUCAGGACAAGCAGCCAACGAGUUCUCACGGCGUGACGUGGAUGCAUCGGAGAAAAAGACGUGCAAUGCAAUAAACGCCCGUUUCAA